rnacentral:rRNA from 1 species
GAGUAACGCGUGGGUAACCUACCCUUGAAUUGGGGAUAACUCCGCGAAAGCGGGGCUAAUACCGAAUAAUAUUUUGAGGUCUUCGGACCUUAAAAUCAAAGAUGGCCUCUGCAUGCAAGCUAUCGUUUAAGGAUGGGCCCGCGUACCAUUAGCUUGUUGGUAGGGUAAUGGCCUACCAAGGCAACGAUGGUUAGCUGGUCUGAGAGGAUGGCCAGCCACACUGGAACUGAGAUACGGUCCAGACUCCUACGGGAGGCAGCAGUGGGGAAUCUUGCGCAAUGGGGGAAACCCUGACGCAGCAACGCCGCGUGGGUGAUGAAGGCCUUCGGGUCGUAAAGCCCUGUCAGGUGGGAAGAAACAUGUUGAUGCCAAUACCAUCAGCACUUGACGGUACCACCGGAGGAAGCACCGGCUAACUCCGUGCCAGCAGCCGCGGUAAUACGGAGGGUGCAAGCGUUGUUCGGAAUUAUUGGGCGUAAAGCGCGUGUAGGCGGUCAUGUAAGUCAGAUGUGAAAGCCUUCCGCUUAACGGAAGAAGUGCAUUUGAAACUGCGUGACUGGAGUACGGGAGAGGAGAGUGGAAUUCCCGGUGUAGAGGUGAAAUUCGUAGAUAUCGGGAGGAACACCAGUGGCGAAGCGGCUUCCUGGCCUGCUCCUGACGCUAAGAGGCGAAAGCUAGGGGAGCGAACGGGAUUAGAAACCCCGGUAGUCCUAGCCGUAAACGAUGGACGCUGGGUGUGGGUGGUCCUAACCCCAUCCGUGCCGAAGCCAACGCGUUAAGCGUCCCGCCUGGGGAGUACGAUCGCAAGGUUAAAACUCAAAGGAAUUGACGGGGCCCCGCACAAGCAGCGGAGCGUGUGGUUUAAUUCGAUGCUACACGAAGAACCUUACCCGGGUUUGACAUGCAGGUAGUAGUGAAACGAAAGUGGAACGACCCUUCGGGGAGCCUGCACAGGUGCUGCAUGGCUGUCGUCAACUCGUGCCGUGAGGUGUUGGGUUAAGUCCCCUAACGAGCGCAACCCUCGCCGUCAGUUACAAGUGUCUGGCGGGACUGCCGGUCUCAAACCGGAGGAAGGUGGGGAUGACGUCAAGUCAGCAUGGCCUUUAUGCCUGGGGCUACACACACGCUACAAUGGCCAGUACAAUGGGUCGCCAACCCGCCGAGGGGGAGCCAAUCCCAUAAAGCUGGUCUCAGUUCGGAUUGGAGGCU